AUUACUAGUAGGAACCUGGAAUUUAGAUCAUCAUCAAGAAUCAAUCAAUCAAGCAUGGCUUCCGGCACUAGGCCUACAUUCAUCAUCUUCUCCAUCCUUUUGCUGCUGCUCUUCCUUAAUACACCGGCCUUUGCUGCAGCUCGUCCAAUUUCUAUUGGAAAUCCUUUGAACCCUAACAAACCCGCUUGUCCUACGCCGAGAGGGCAACCUUACGGUAAUUGUAAGCCGUCACCGCCGAGGGCAUGUAACAGUAGGUAUAAUUGUGGUGCCCCUCCAGCCACAGAUAAAGUUGCUACCAGACCAAAUAUCAAAACUUAACAAUUGAAGCCGCCUGAAGUGAGACAAUCAAGCAUAUAUGACAUGCAUGCGUGUAUUAUUAGUGAUUCAGUAAACUUGGAUCAUUAUACAUGCAUGCAUGUACGUGCAUGGUAUCUACCAGCUGUUAUGUACUCCCUUAUUAAUUAUCUUCCUUCCUGAGUUUGAAUCCUUGAAUAAAUAAAUAAAUAAAUAAAAGGCAAGAAAUUAAUGUUUCUA